rnacentral:rRNA from 1 species
GACGUAGGGCGCAAGCGUUGUCCGGAAUUAUUGGGCGUAAAGAGCUCGUAGGCGGCUUGUCACGUCGGGGGUGAAAGCCCGGGGCUUAACCCCGGGUCUGCAUUCGAUACGGGCUAGCUAGAGUGUGGUAGGGGAGAUCGGAAUUCCUGGUGUAGCGGUGAAAUGCGCAGAUAUCAGGAGGAACACCGGUGGCGAAGGCGGAUCUCUGGGCCAUUACUGACGCUGAGGAGCGAAAGCGUGGGGAGCGAACAGG